ACUCAAAUGAAUUGACGGGGACCCGCACAACCAGUGGAGCGUGUGGUUCAAUUUGAGACUAAGCAAAAAACCUCACCAGGGCUUGACAUGCUAUCGUACAGUCCGCUGGAAACAGUGGAUAAUCCGCAAGGAUGAUAGCACAGGUGGUGCAUGGCUAUCGUCAGCUCGUGCCGUGAGGUGUUCCAUUAAGUUGGGAAACGAGCGCAACCCGCAUCCAAUGUUAAAUAUUCAUUGGGGACUGUCACAGUUUUUCUGUGGAGGAAGGCGCGGAAGACGUUAAGUCCGCAUGCUCCUUAUGCCCUGGGCUACACACACCCUACAAUGGCGAAGAACAAUGAGUUGCAAGCUAGUAAUGGCAAGCUAAUCUCAGAAAUUUCGCCUCAGUUCAGAUUGAGGGCUGCAACUCGCCCUCAUGAAGUUGGAAUUGGUAGUAAUCGCGAAUCAGCAGGUCGCGGUGAAUACGUUCUCGGGUCUUGUACACACCGCCCGU
rnacentral:rRNA from 1 species